rnacentral:rRNA from 1 species
AGAGUUUGAUCAUGGCUCAGAAUGAACGCUGGCGGCGUGCCUAACACAUGCAAGUCGAACGAGAAAUUCUGACUUCGGUCGGAAUAGUAAAGUGGCGCACGGGUGAGUAACGCGUGGGUAACCUGCCCUUGAAUCUGGGAUAACUUCGCGAAAGCGAUGCUAAUACCGGAUAUCGUCCCUGAAACUUCGGUUUUUGGGAUGAAAGAUGACCUCUUCAUGAAAGUUGUCGUUCAGGGAGGGGCCCGCGUACCAUUAGCUUGUUGGUGGGGUAAUGGCCUACCAAGGCUACGAUGGUUAGCUGGUCUGAGAGGAUGAUCAGCCACACUGGAACUGAAACACGGUCCAGACUCCUACGGGAGGCAGCAGUGAGGAAUUUUGCACAAUGGGGGAAACCCUGACGCAGCAACGCCGCGUGAGUGAAGAAGGCUUUCGGGUCGUAAAGCUCCGUCAAGUGGGAAAAAAGCUUCCCGGUGAAUAGCCGGGCGGUUUGAUGGUACCACUAGAGGAAGCACCGGCUAACUCCGUGCCAGCAGCCGCGGUAAUACGGAGGGUGCAAGCGUUGUUCGGAAUUAUUGGGCGUAAAGAGCGUGUAGGCGGCUUGGUAAGUCAGAUGUGAAAGCCCAGGGCUCAACCCUGGAAGUGCAUUUGAUACUGCCGAGCUUGAGUAUGGGAGAGGAGAGCGGAAUUCCCAGUGUAGAGGUGAAAUUCGUAGAUAUUGGGAGGAACACCCGUGGCGAAGGCGGCUCUCUGGACCAAUACUGACGUUGAGACGCGAAAGCGUGGGGAGCAAACAGGAUUAGAUACCCUGGUAGCCCACGCUGUAAACGAUGAGAACUAGGUGUAGCGGGUAUUGACCCCUGCUGUGCCGCAGCUAACGCAUUAAGUUCUCCGCCUGGGGAGUAC